UACAGAGGGUGCGAGCGUUAAUCGGAGUUACUGGGCGUAAAGGGCGCGUAGGCGGUUAAAUAAGAUUGAUGUGAAAUCCCUGGGCUUAACCUAGGAACAGCAUCGAUGACUGUAUAGCUGGAGUACUGUAGAGGGUAGUAGAAUUUCCGGUGUAGCGGUGAAAUGCGUAGAGAUCGGAAGGAAUACCAGUGGCGAAGGCGGCUACCUGGACAGAUACUGACGCUGAGGCGCGAGAGCGUGGGGAGCAAACAGG
rnacentral:rRNA from 1 species